rnacentral:lncRNA from 1 species
AAAAUGUAUACCACCAAAAAGAAAAAUUCUGACUGCAGGGAAGCAGUACACUCUGUAGACCCCGGAGAAAAAUAAAUCACCAUGAGAUUUGACAACAAUCAAUUUUUCACUGCACGCUAAUCAAGCAGAUAGAAAGAAGGCCAUGGAAAUGUCUGUUUGAAGUUCUGAAGUAAACUACCUUGAUGUUGACAAAGAUGAGACAAACUACCUGAUGAAAGAAAUCAUAUUCAAGAAAGAAUCUUUAGAGAGGAAGGCAGCCUAUUUAUUUACAUGAAGAUCAAAGAACCUUUGCAUGAAUUGAGACUACAUUUUUUCCGAGUGAUUUGCAAAAGAUAAUCCUCAUGGCUGAAUGAGAAAAGUGUUCUCCUUGCUGCCACCAUGUGACGAAGGACACGUUUGCUUCCCCUUCCACCAUGAUUGCAAGUUUUCUGAGGCCUCCCCAGCCAUGCUGAACUAAAAUGCAACAACAAGGGUCCAUCUUGGAAGCAGAGGGCAGCCUUCACCAGACAAUCAAACCUGCCACCUGCCUGUGCCUUGAUGUUGGACUUCUCAGCUUCUAGAACUUGCCAGAAUUUCCAGAGCCUUCUUGCUCAGAUGCCAUCUUUUUGUAUGCCAUUUCGAAGAGCUUCAGUGAUGCCUGCUGAAGAGAGGAUGCUGUUUGUCCAAUGUUUUCUCCCGUUUCGCUGUCUUUUCUAUCCAGAAGCCCCUUCAUUUUGGAAAUCUCUUCUUUUAGCUUUUGCACUUAUCAGCAGUGUGGUGAGGAGAAAGGAAGUGCCAGAUUUAUCCCAUGAUCUGAAAUUCGACCACGUAUGAGCAACUGUAUAUGAGAAAGAGCUACUAAAUAAGACAUUCUGUUUCCUGGUGAGGAAGGAGAGAGUAAUGAGCAAAUCAUGCUCCUGGUGUUAUAUACCCAGUCAUUCAACAGGAUCUCCCAACUAGAGCAAAAUGGAAAAAGAUAGUCUACCCUGUAUAUACUUUAUCUCAUGAGUGCCAAAAAGUUGAAUGAGUAUCACCAUGAAAAAAAUUGAAUGUGCAUUGUCACACUUAUAUUUGGAUCUAGACAAGAGCCUCAGUAAAUGAAUAAGAAGACAACAUAAAGUAUAAGAAGCAGGAACUCACCGAUCACUCACAUUAUUCUCUAAUUAAAGGUUCAUGCUUACCACACUCACUGAAAGUCCAAGAAUUCAGCCCAUAUUUAUGACAUGCAAGCUUUUAUUCCUAGCUCCAAACCAAACAUCCACAAAGAAACAUAAUACACCAUGUCCCUAAAAGCUGAUGAGUCAUUUAGCAUGCCUACUGAUAAAAGCACAAAAUAGGGAGUGUGGCCUUUUACUUAGUUUGAGAGGUAGGACCGAACCCCAAAUACAGCUACUUAUGUAUUUCCUUAUAGUUGUAUUCACACACACAGACACACAUGGUCAAUCAAACACAGCACAAAGCUGGUUAAAAGAAAGUAUAAAAACCUUAGACUAAAACCUUCAGACUCUCUCCCCUCAAACUUUAUUUACUUUUUCCAGACCUGUGCAUAUUUAUAA